rnacentral:rRNA from 1 species
UACGGAGGGUGCAAGCGUUAAUCGGAAUUACUGGGCGUAAAGCGCACGUAGGUGGUUUGCUAAGCCAGCUGUGAAAUCCCCGGGCUCAACCUGGGCACUGCAGUUGGAACUGGCAAGCUAGAGUAGGGUAGAGGGGUGUGGAAUUCCAGGUGUAGCGGUGAAAUGCGUAGAUAUCUGGAGGAACAUCAGUGGCGAAGGCGACACCUGGACUCAUACUGACACUGAGGUGCGAAAGCGUGGGGAGCAAACAGG